UUUUUUUUCACAUUUAUUAUGUUGAUGACUGGAUGCAUUGGUGCAGCUGUGUGAAAGAGACAUGUUACUUGAGCCACUGUCAGCAAAAUGUGGCCUUCUCAUUGGAAUCUUUCUGACAUGAACUUUGCAAAUGACAUAUAAACUAGCAAGGCGGUGUGCCACGACUUAAAUGAGAGCCACCACAGCAUCAUAAAAAUUACCUCUUUUUAAAGAUUAAAUCUCAUGUGAUCAAAUGUAUUAAAAGAAAGUCAAAGGGAGCAAACAAACAAAUAGCACAUAACACAUCAUGGAGGUGGGCGUAAACAUGACGGUAUUCGCCAUGUUAUUGGCGUAAAAAUCCUGAAAGAAACAUAAUAAUGACUGAAGUCUGUUGCUCACGGAACUCAAGUCGCGUAUUCCGAGGACAAGGGACAUAGAGAUAGAGACAUAGAGAUCAGAGAUAGAAUACUAGAAGAGGUACUAGGUAGGAAAAAGAAGCACAGGAAGACAGCUAUUGGGAUUAUAACCAGGGAAGAUACGCAAGCUGGGCUAAAAUAGAGGAGGCUCAUUUCUAAUGACAACCCCUGAUGCAAAAUGCUGAAAGACAAAGCGCAAUCUAUCUAUGGAAAAGCAUAUGAAGAUGGUUUGUCCGUAUUCCAAAAUACAACAUUUGCUAAAACAUCCAGCAAACAUCAUUAAGCAAUACACAUCAAUGCUUAACUGGGAGACAUGUCGCUCAAUAAGGGUAAUAACAGGGUAAUGAGAGUUAGAUGGGCCAUGUGCCAAAUUCCAGGAGAGUGAGUCAGCUGCACUUCAACAGGCACUUGGCACAUUGGAACCCAUUUGCUUUUUCAGUUGACACAGAUGCAACUUCCAAAAUGUAGACACAAAGCAUUAAAGAAGAGUUUAAUAACUGAGUUAGAUAAAGGUGUGAUGACGGGCUCAGGUCACAACACUGUGAAUGUGUGCAUGUGUGUGCUACUGUGUUCCAGCUGUUGGGACUCUGACUAGUGGAGGACCCUGGCUCCCACUGGUGCUGCCCACAGGCCCAGAGGUGGUGAGACACACAGCAGCUCCACGGGAAGGGGAACCCAGCCGCGAAGCAUCACUCAAGCGCCUAAUUCCUCUAAUCUGUGCAGCCAUGCGAGGUACAGAGUGAGGGUCAGGGCCCGCUCCCGCAUCAAUCCUACAACUGUCGACGCUGAUGGACUGAUGGUGGACCAGCAUGAAUCUGUGUGGAUGGCUGGCCGAUGGCCACUGGCUUUCCAGGUGGUCAAACUGAUGGUGAUGCAGUGGGACUCUGGAUGGAAGGCUUGGUGGUGCUUGGCAGCAUGAUGGAUUCCUGAACGGGU